UGGGGAAUUUUGGACAAUGGGGGAAACCCUGAUCCAGCCAUCCCGCGUGUGCGAUGAAGGCCUUUGGGUUGUAAAGCACUUUUGGCAGGAAAGAAACGUCAUGGGUUAAUACCCCGUGAAACUGACGGUACCUGCAGAAUAAGCACCGGCUAACUACGUGCCAGCAGCCGCGGUAAUACGUAGGGUGCAAGCGUUAAUCGGAAUUACUGGGCGUAAAGCGUGCGCAGGCGGUUCGGAAAGAAAGAUGUGAAAUCCCAGAGCUCAACUGUGGAACUGCUUUUUUAACUACCGGGCUAGAGUGUGUCAGAGGGAGGUGGAAUUCCGCGUGUAGCAGUGAAAUGCGUAGAUAUGCGAAGGAACACCGAUGGCGAAGGCAGCCUCCUGGGAUAACACUGACGCUCAUGCACGAAAGCGUGGGGAGCAAACAGG
rnacentral:rRNA from 1 species